rnacentral:lncRNA from 12 species
AUCAGCAUUUCUAAAAUAAAUAUUAGGACAUUAAAUCAAAAAAAAAAAAAAAAAAAAAAAAAAAAAAAAAAAAAAAAAAAAAAAAAAAAAAAAAAAAAAAAAAAAAAAAAAAAAAAAAAAAAAAAAAAAAAAAAAAAAAAAAAAAAAAAAAAAAAAAAAAAAAAAAAAAAAAAAAAAAAAAAAAAAAAAAAAAAAAAAAAAAAAAAAAAAAAAAAAAAAAAAAAAAAAAAAAAAAAAAAAAAAAAAAAAAAAAAAAAAAAAAAAAAAAAAAAAAAAAAAAAAAAAAAAAAAAAAAAAAAAAAAAAAAAAAAAAAAAAAAAAAAAAAAAAAAAAAAAAAAAAAAAAAAAAAAAAAAAAAAAAAAAAAAAAAAAAAAAAAAAAAAAAAAAAAAAAAAAAAAAAAAAAAAAAAAAAAAAAAAAAAAAAAAAAAAAAAAAAAAAAAAAAAAAAAAAAAAAAAAAAAAAAAAAAAAAAAAAAAAAAAAAAAAAAAAAAAAAAAAAAAAAAAAAAAAAAAAAAAAAAAAAAAAAAAAAAAAAAAAAAAAAAAAAAAAAAAAAAAAAAAAAAAAAAAAAAAAAAAAAAAAAAAAAAAAAAAAAAAAAAAAAAAAAAAAAAAAAAAAAAAAAAAAAAAAAAAAAAAAAAAAAAAAAAAAAAAAAAAAAAAAAAAAAAAAAAAAAAAAAAAAAAAAAAAAAAAAAAAAAAAAAAAAAAAAAAAAAAAAAAAAAAAAAAAAAAAAAAAAAAAAAAAAAAAAAAAAAAAAAAAAAAAAAAAAAAAAAAAAAAAAAAAAAAAAAAAAAAAAAAAAAAAAAAAAAAAAAAAAAAAAAAAAAAAAAAAAAAAAAAAAAAAAAAAAAAAAAAAAAAAAAAAAAAAAAAAAAAAAAAAAAAAAAAAAAAAAAAAAAAAAAAAAAAAAAAAAAAAAAAAAAAAAAAAAAAAAAAAAAAAAAAAAAAAAAAAAAAAAAAAAAAAAAAAAAAAAAAAAAAAAAAAAAAAAAAAAAAAAAAAAAAAAAAAAAAAAAAAAAAAAAAAAAAAAAAAAAAAAAAAAAAAAAAAAAAAAAAAAAAAAAAAAAAAAAAAAAAAAAAAAAAAAAAAAAAAAAAAAAAAAAAAAAAAAAAAAAAAAAAAAAAAAAAAAAAAAAAAAAAAAAAAAAAAAAAAAAAAAAAAAAAAAAAAAAAAAAAAAAAAAAAAAAAAAAAAAAAAAAAAAAAAAAAAAAAAAAAAAAAAAAAAAAAAAAAAAAAAAAAAAAAAAAAAAAAAAAAAAAUCCGGGAGUAAGUUCAUUCAACUCAGAGUAUGUUCCUGGUUAAGACUCAAGACAUUCAAAACAGAGCGACGAAUCGACGAGUCACUAUGGAAACGGACGCUAAGAAAAAGCGCGCCAUGCUGUUUCUUUCUUCUUCUUUUGUUCAUUUGUUGUUUACAUGCUUAG